UACCUGGAUAAAUCCAAUUUGACAUGUCUCUCUUAAUGAUCCAUGGAUCUUCUCCUUGUUCCAACUUGGAGAUUACAUCGGGUUUGGAAACUGGAUGCCCUAUUAAAUGGAAAACACAGAGGAACUGGGAUACACUAUAUUGAAGGAAGAAGAGAGGGUACCGUUCAAGUGUACAAUGAAGCAGUCCAGGUAGCCCUCAACAGAGUAAUGACCUCCAUUUGGGAAGGAGAAAGUUGAACAGAGGGACAGGAGGACAUAGAGAGAAGAGGAUGAUAUGAAGAGACAUGCGGAGAAGAUGGCCAUCUAUAAUCCAAGGAGAGAGCCCUGAAACGGAUCCUUCCCUCACAGCCCUUCGAAGGAACCGAUCCUACUGACAUCUUGAGUUUCGACUUCUAGCCCCCAGAACUGAAAGAACCAUGCCUAACCGUUCUUGAGAUAGUCCUCUUUACAGACCUGUAACUGAUGAUGUCUGCAAGGAAGAUCUGAAAAAUCAGUACAUCAAUUCAUUUAAAUGGUUUCAGGCCAGGUUAUCUACAUAUUACCUAGCAACUCUUUUUAAGUUUUGAUCUUUAUUUUGCCUACCUGUGACCUAACCCAAAUUUUAGCUCUUUUUAACUUUUCCAUUUGAAUAUGUGGAAAACCAAGGAGGAAAUUUAAAAAAUUAAAAAUAAAAGCAACUCACCUGGGACUUCAUCUUUUCUGCUCUC